rnacentral:rRNA from 1 species
CCUACGGGCGGCAGCAGUGGGGAAUAUUGCGCAAUGGGGGGAACCCUGACGCAGCCAUGCCGCGUGAAUGAAGAAGGCCUUCGGGUUGUAAAGUUCUUUCGGUAUUGAGGAAGGGAUGUGUGCUAAUAGUAGACAUCAUUGACGUUAAAUACAGAAGAAGCACCGGCUAACUCCGUGCCAGCAGCCGCGGUAAUACGGAGGGGGCGAGCGUUAAUCGGAAUAACUGGGCGUAAAGGGCACGCAGGCGGUUAUUUAAGUGAGGUGUGAAAGCCCCGGGCUUAACCUGGGAAUUGCAUUUCAGACUGGGUAACUAGAGUUCGUUAGGGAGGGGUAGAAGUCCACGUGUAGCGGUGAAAUGCGUAGAGAUGUGGAGGAAUACCGAAGGCGAAGGCAGCCCCUUGGGAAUGUACUGAAGCUCAUGUGCGAAAGCGUGGGGAGCGAACAGGAUUAGAUACCCGAGUAGUC